UACGUAGGAUGCGAGCGUUAUCCGGAUUUAUUGGGUUUAAAGGGUGCGCAGGCGGCGAGUUAAGUCAGCGGUAAAAUUUCGGGGCUCAACCCCGACAAGCCGUUGAAACUGGCAGUCUCGAGUUGGAGAGAAGUAUGCGGAAUGCGCGGUGUAGCGGUGAAAUGCAUAGAUAUCGCGCAGAACUCCGAUUGCGAAGGCAGCAUGCCGGCUCCACACUGACGCUGAAGCACGAGAGCGUGGGUAUCGAACAGG
rnacentral:rRNA from 1 species